UUUACCUUGAUUUUUGUAUAGAAAUUUUUUAAAUAUUUUAUGUAAAGUUUAUGUUAAUUAUUGAAAUGAUUAUUGUGAUAAUUUUAUUAAAUAUAUUUGAUUGUUUAUUUAUAGAUUUAAUUGUUGAUUCAUCAUUUGAAUUUAAUGAUGAUGAUGAUGACAGAGAGAGCUGCUGUAUAACUGUCGUAGUAAAAAAAUUAGGUGCUUUCCAUUUCGAGACAAUCCUCACGUGAUGAUGAUCAAUGAAUGCACUCUUUUGAUGUACACACGGAAUUAUCUGUUACCUAGAUAUUAUCAUUUCAUGGGAAUCAAUGUGACUGAUGUGAAAUCUGUGCGAAAUAAUAAUUAAAAUAAAAUAAAAUUAGAAACAAGUAAGUAUUUAAAAAUAAAACAAUUUAUUUUUUAUUUAUUAAAAUACAGUACAAAAAAAUACAAGCAUUCAUUCAUUGGAAAAUAUAAAUAUGUACAAAAUCAUUAAUCUAAAAUACUUAUAACAAAAGAAGUUAAAAAAAAAUAAAAAAAAUAAAUUGUACUAUAAUAUAAAUAAUUUUCUAUAGAAUGAAAAUUAUUUUUUUUAAAUGUCAAUGAAUUCUUUGUUGUCUUUUUAAGAAAGGGAAAUUUAAAAAGUAUAUAAUGAUAAUCGUAAUGUGAUCAUCAAUCGAUUACAAACGUGAUUCAUUCUCAUUUGACCGUUGAAAAUUUCUUUUUUCUUUUUUUUUAUUUUCAUUUUUCUUUUACUUUCACGUUUGAUUAAAUGUUGUAUGGAUAAGAACAAUAAUGAUAUUUUAUUAUGUUCAUAUAAACGUAUGUUUGAUCAUCUGCUGAAUAUUUUUGAUAAAAAAUA